AUUGAACGCUGGCGGCAUGCCUUACACAUGCAAGUCGAACGGCAGCACGGGAGCAAUCCUGGUGGCGAGUGGCGAACGGGUGAGUAAUGUAUCGGAACGUGCCUUGUCGUGGGGGAUAACGUAGCGAAAGCUACGCUAAUACCGCAUACCAUCUAAGGAUGAAAGCGGGGGAUCGCAAGACCUCGCGCGACAAGAGUGGCCGAUAUCAGAUUAGGUUGUUGGUGGGGUAAAGGCCUACCAAGCCGACGAUCUGUAGCUGGUCUGAGAGGACGACCAGCCACACUGGGACUGAGACACGGCCCAGACUCCUACGGGAGGCAGCAGUGGGGAAUUUUGGACAAUGGGCGAAAGCCUGAUCCAGCAAUGCCGCGUGCAGGAUGAAGGCC
rnacentral:rRNA from 1 species